GUCUCCUCCAGGCCCUGAGAGUCACCCAGCAUCUCACACACGGCAAAUGUUCUCUGCUCUUCAGUAUGAUUGACAGUUUGUGGCGUCCUUCGGUUGAUCCAAAAUCUCAUGACGAUCUGCUGCAGUCUCCCAGCGAUCGAGUCCCACCGUCCAGUGUCCAGCAGGGUCACAUAGUUCCCUUAUCAGGACAGACUGAAACUCUACUGUACUGACCACCUGUACUUCAGACGCUAAGAGAGAUCCUUGAGAACGAAUCUUCGAGGUGCUGUUGCAGCUUUUGGGCCACUGUGGUUCAUAAACAAUUACUGGUAAUGUUCUCGUAACCUAUUUUUAACAACAAAUGCAUAAAUCAGAUCAUCAUUUUUCAUCAUAGCUAUCUUUGUGGGCCAUCUUGGCACGCCUGGUUUAAAGAGUGUGAGAAAUAGCCUUUAGAUUGUCUUCUUAAGAACCCACGUGGCUGUUUUCCCAGCACAUUUGCCAAGUCUUCAUCCCUCAGGGUUGCUUCCAAACUGUACACCUUUGGAAAAGUGUUUGGAAAGCUUUACGCGCUGUUUGACGCAAGCUUCCCGUAAGUGACAUCAUCCAUUGACAAUCUGUUUGACUGAUCUAACAAACCCUCAGACUGUGGACUUUGAUAACCUGGGAUUUAUUUGUAGGAGGUUAAGUGCCAUGCACACACGCUGGCGUGGAUAGUAAAUUAACGUUUUGUUUUGAUACUGACAUUGCACAUCUGUGUAGGUGUAACUGGCCCUAAAGCAUUUGUCCUGUAAUAAUAACAGAUUUAUGUCUUUAUAAAUGAGGCAAAACAAAUGAAGUUUUAUUUAGCCUUGUGUAUUCAAAGCUUUGUUUGAUUAACACCCAUAUUUUCCCCAAAUUUACAUACAUAUUAUUAUUGCAGAAUAAUAAUUCCUUUGCCAUUUUCCCUUUAUCUGAACAGCUUUUUAUUCUUUUACAUUUUUAUCCCAAAAUUUAUUUAAAAUGAGAAAUGUUGCCUUGGUAACUAGAUUAAAUUAAAUCUCAUUUCCAAGCCUUAUUUCUAUAUUUAAUUUAGUUUAACUUGAUGUACUAAAAAUGAAAUAAAAAUAAAUACAAACUAUAUAACA
ensembl:lncRNA